AAUUGUAUGGUAUGAUAGCGACAGCAGAGAAGUUAAUGACGGUUGGCAAAUCCAAUCACAGGAGUUGGUGCUUAUGAGUCACGCACAAAAUCCAGUGAAGGGAGGUGUCUGGUUGUCCGUUGCGGAUGCAAUAACCAUUAUGUUAGCGUUUGGCAGUUUUGUACUGUUACUCGUUGGCACAGUGG
rfam:Lactobacillus casei ATCC 334, complete genome.